GGCCUGUCUGGGUGCCGAGCCGAUGGACUAAACCUGCUGAUCCCAGUGAUUUACCUUCAGCUGAUCCAGAAAAUUUAGCAGAUACUUCUCGUUCUCUACUAUCAACAUAGAGACGGGAUCUGAUGAACUCUCACAUGAAAAUCUUGUGUACAGUACCAAAUUGUGAAUGUUAUCCUUUUGUAUGUUACAUUUGUAAAGUGUGUAAGGAAAAGUGGUGGAUACAUUCUAAGUGGGGUCGAUCUCCAAGAGGGAUUUGUACAGAGUGUUACAACUUUGAAAGAAAUUUGACUGAGAUUGCAUUACAGGGAUCUGAUAGAUGGUGGGAGAUUUUUGCUUUUGGGAUAAAUCCAGAAAAUUAUUGUUAUCAUCCUAAUACCCCUUUACCAUAUAUUAUUGAAAUAACCACAAUAUGUUGUCGUAAGACACUUAUACAGGUCAGGUGUGAUAUUCCAGGGGUAAAAAAUAAAAAUUGGGAGCAAUUCUUAAAACGGCAGUCUCGAGAGAAAGGGUCUUUCCCUGAAAGUUAUCCCUGUUGCCAAGAAUGAAAUGGUGUUCAUGAUUUCGAAGCAACCGAAUCGACAGGCGAGGCAGAGGGGUAAAAGAAAAGGGAAGCAAGAUCUCGCAUGUGAUCCAGCCAAGAUGCUAGCUGAACUGCCACAAUCCUUUUAAAAUCCUUAAAGGACUAUCUCUGAUCAGGUUGUUGUUGUGGUUUACCAUGAUAAAGGGAAAUGAAGGGUUUUUGAUUGACAUGGAUGAAAGACAAAAUAUGUGGGUAACAUGGGCUAAUCAAACUGGACAGGAUAAUUUUUGCCUUUCAAUGGCUACCCCUUCGGAUCCUUUUCGAACUUGUUUAGUGGGCGCACCUUUAGAUGAUUCACUCAAUGCCACAAUGUUAAAAAAUUUGGCACAAAUGGCAAUUGUUAUUAUAUUGAUCAUUAUGAUUGUCUUACUGUUUAUUCCUUGCAUACUGCAAUGCUUGCAAAACAUGGUAAAGAAGGCUACUUCUACAGUUUUGUUAGUACAAAAAGAAAAUGGGGGAAUUGUAGAGGAAUGGCUAGAGAGCAAAGGUCAUAUUCCCAUGCAGCAGUUAGCUGGGAAAGAGUUAGACAAUGGAGUACAGAAAGAGUUAGACAAUGGAGUACAGUUAGUGUGAGAUGUUGCAAAGUCAGGAAGGCCUUAGUGAUAACUGUUAACUGAGAACAGGAUGCUGUGAUCAAAAGAAUGUGAAUUCAGCAUAGAUGAGCGAUCACGGGAAUGUGGAAUUAGAUGGAGCUGACCUUAAAUGAAAAUAUCCAAUAAUGAGCUUGCUUUUGCACUAUGUAUGAGCCUAAUUAUUGAUGCUAUAUAAGUGGCUUUAGAAUUACCAAUAAAUGAGACUUGCUGAUCA
rnacentral:lncRNA from 1 species